UUUGACGUUAGCGGCGGACGGGUGAGUAACACGUGGGUAACCUACCUAUAAGACUGGAAUAACUCCGGGAAACCGGGGCUAAUGCCGGAUAACAUGUUGAACCGCAUGGUUCUACAGUGAAAGACGGUCUUGCUGUCACUUAUAGAUGGACCCGCGCCGUAUUAGCUAGUUGGUGGGGUAACGGCCUACCAAGGCGACGAUACGUAGCCGACCUGAGAGGGUGAUCGGCCACACUGGAACUGAGACACGGUCCAGACUCCUACGGGAGGCAGCAGUAGGGAAUCUUCCGCAAUGGGCGAAAGCYUGACGGAGCAACGCCGCGUGAGUGAUGAAGGUCUUCGRAUCGUAAAGCUCUGUUGUUAGGGAAGAACAAAAUGUGUAAGUAACUGUGCACAUCUUGACGGUACCUAACCAGAAAGCCACGGCUAACUACGUGCCAGCAGCCGCGGUAAUACGUAGGUGGCAAGCGUUAUCCGGAAUUAUUGGGCGUAAAGCGCGCGUAGGCGGUUUUUUAAGUCUGAUGUGAAAGCCCACGGCUCAACCGUGGAGGGUCAUUGGAAACUGGAAAACUUGAGUGCAGAAGAGGAAAGUGGAAUUCCAUGUGUAGCGGUGAAAUGCGCAGAGAUAUGGAGGAACACCAGUGGCGAAGGCGGCUUUCUGGUCUGCAACUGACGCUGAUGUGCGAAAGCGUGGGGAUCAAACAGGAUUAGAUACCCUGGUAGUCCACGCCGUAAACGAUGAGUGCUAAGUGUUAKGGGGUUUCCGCCCCUUAGUGCUGCAGCUAACGCAUUAAGCACUCCGCCUGGGGAGUACGGUCGCAAGACUGAAACUCAAAGGAAUUGACGGGGACCCGCACAAGCGGUGGAGCAUGGUGGUUUAAUUCGAAGCAACGCGAAGRACCUUACCAAAUCUUGACAUCCUUUGACCGCUCUAGAGGAUAGAGUUUUCCUCUUCCGGAGGACAAAGUGACARGUGGUGCAURGUUGUCGUCAGCUCGKGUCGUGAGAAUGUUGGRUUAAGUCCCGCAACGAGCCGCAACCCUUGAACUUAGUUGSCAUCAUUCAGUUUGGGCCACUCUARGUKGACUGSCGKUGAMMAACCGGAGSAAGGUGUGUUGGGAUUGUGACCCGUYMAAUCUAUCMUUGCCCCUUAUGAUUUGGGCUACACACGUGCUACAAUGGACAAUACAAAGGGCAGCGAAACCGCGAGGUCAAGCAAAUCCCAUAAAGUUGUUCUCAGUUCGGAUUGUAGUCUGCAACUCGACUACAUGAAGCUGGAAUCGCUAGUAAUCGUAGAUCAGCAUGCUACGGUGAAUACGUUCCCGGGUCUUGUACACACCGCCCGUCACACCACGAGAGUUUGUAACACCCGAAGCCGGU
rnacentral:rRNA from 1 species